rnacentral:rRNA from 1 species
UACGAAGGUCCCGAGCGUUGUUCGGAAUCACUGGGCGUAAAGGGAGCGUAGGCGGCGCGGUAAGUCAGAUGUGAAAUCCCGGGGCUCAACCCCGGAACUGCAUCCGAUACUGCCGUGCUAGAGGAUUGGAGAGGUAGCUGGAAUUCUUGGUGUAGCAGUGAAAUGCGUGGAGAUCAAGAGGAACACCUGUGGCGAAAGCGGCGCACUGGACCACAACUGACGCUGAGGCGCGAAAGCUAGGGGAGCAAACGGG